AGUGAACGCUGGCGGUAGGCCUAACACAUGCAAGUCGAACGGCAGCACAGUAAGAGCUUGCUCUUACGGGUGGCGAGUGGCGGACGGGUGAGGAAUACAUCGGAAUCUACUUUUUCGUGGGGGAUAACGUAGGGAAACUUACGCUAAUACCGCAUACGACCUACGGGUGAAAGCAGGGGAUCUUCGGACCUUGCGCGAUUGAAUGAGCCGAUGUCGGAUUAGCUAGUUGGCGGGGUAAAGGCCCACCAAGGCGACGAUCCGUAGCUGGUCUGAGAGGAUGGUCAGCCACACUGGAGCGGGGACAGGGUCCAGACUCCUGAGGGAGGGAGCAGUGGGGAAUAUUGGACAAUGGGCGCAAGCCUGAUCCAGCCAUACCGCGUGGGUGAAGAAGGCCUUCGGGUUGUAAAGCCCUUUUGUUGGGAAAGAAAAGCAGCAGGUUAAUACCCCGCUGUUCUGACGGUACCCAAAGAAUAAGCACCGGCUAACUUCGUG
rnacentral:rRNA from 1 species